rnacentral:rRNA from 1 species
UACGUAGGGGGCAAGCGUUGUCCGGAUUUAUUGGGCGUAAAGAGCGUGUAGGCGGUCCGGUAAGUCCGCUGUGAAAGUCGGGGGCUCAACCCUCGGAUGCCGGUGGAUACUGUCGGGCUUGAGUACGGAAGAGGCGAGUGGAAUUCCUGGUGUAGCGGUGAAAUGCGCAGAUAUCAGGAGGAACACCAAUUGCGAAGGCAGCUCGCUGGGACGUUACUGACGCUGAGACGCGAAAGCGUGGGGAGCAAACGGG